UGCAGAAUCCCGUGAAUCAUCGAGUCUUUGAACGCAAGUUGCGCCCGAAGCCUCGGCCAAGGGCACGUCUGCCUGGGCGUCGCAA
rnacentral:rRNA from 1 species